AUGAACUCUUAAUAUAAUUUCUUUUUGGUAUUUAUAUUUAAUAUUUAAAAUAGGCCAAAAUCAUAUGUGGUCACUCAAACUUGUCCCGAUUAUUCAUUAAGACACCUCAACUAGACGUACUACCUAUUGAACACCUCAACCACCCCAGAUUUGAACCGUACAAUCAUUUUUUGCCUACAUGGCAAAUCGUUUGUGAUUCACACAAAUGGAGUGUGUGAAUUUGUUUUUCUCUCAUUUUUUACCCUGCCUUCAUGGCACCAGCGUUAAUAUUAUACUUCAAUGUUAAAGUUGAAGUGAAAUCCCCAAUUCCUCUUUCCCAAAAUCCUCUUCCCCAAUUCCUCUUCCCCAAAAUCCAUUUAAAACCCUAAAUCUCCGAUUCUCUCUCCUUCUCUAAAUCUUCAAUUUUCUCUCUUCUUCUCUAAAUAUCCAAGUUUCUUUUUUCUUCUUUAAUUCAAUUCUCUUUUAUCAAAUGUCGCAAAUUUCAGUGAAUAUCGAGGAAGUUGAUAUAUGCAAGUGUGGUUAUUAUUGUCGACUGAAAACUUCGAGGACUCCUUUGAACCCAAGUUGUCGAUUUUUUGGAUGCAAAGCAUCAAAGGAAAAUGGUGGAUGUUGAUAUUUUAGAUGGAUUGAUCCGUCGCUUGAAAAUGUUGAUGAAUCAUCCUCAAUGAAUAGACUCAUAGACGAUCAAAAUUCGAUUGAUCGACUAAAGAGAAAAGUAUUAGAGCUUGAAGAAGAAAAAGAUUCUUUGAAAUUUCAAUUGAAUGAAAGUGAAGUGAAAUUGAUGGUAUUGAACAAGAAGCUUAAGGAAGUUAAACUCCAAAGGGAUUGGGAAAAUGUUAAAUUUAACCGAGUUGUGAUUGUUUUUAUUUGUCUACUAACUAUUAAAUGGUUCUUUAAUAUUUUGUAGUUGAUAGUAGUUAAGGAUUGUAGUACUUAAUUGUUUAGUUUUGCAGUAGUUAGGUAGCUAUUCUACAUCAAUUAGUGAUGUUUUAAUUGGUAUAUGGCCUUCAUAUUUUGUAUCAAAAUGGAAGUUUGAGUUGAAUUGAUCAUUGUUGAAUUGAUCA